rnacentral:rRNA from 1 species
UACGUAGGGUGCGAGCGUUGUCCGGAAUUAUUGGGCGUAAAGAGCUUGUAGGCGGUCUGUCGCGUCUGCUGUGAAAAUCCGGGGCUCAACCCCGGACUUGCAGUGGGUACGGGGCAGACUAGAGUGUGGUAGGGGGAGACUGGAAUUCCUGGUGUAGCGGUGAAAUGCGCAGAUAUCAGGAGGAACACCGAUGGCGAAGGCAGGUCUCUGGGCCACUACUGACGCUGAGAAGCGAAAAGCAUGGGGGAGCGAACAGGG